AUGGCUAAGAGGUGGAACAGUUGGAAGGAGGAAUUCACGCUGUACACGGACCUCACAAUGCCGGAGGCGGAAGAAACGACGAGAGUUAAGUUAUUUAUCUAUCUACUCGGUGAAAGAGGGAGAGAACUUCUGAGAACACUGAUGGGGGGGGGUGCUACAUCAGCGAGAGUUACUGUGAGUUCGAUGAUAAAGCAGUUUGACGACCAUUGCAAUACAAAAGUGAAUGAGACUGUGGAGCGGUACACAUUUUUUGUCAGAGACCAGGGACAAGAUGAAAAUAUCGACAAAUAUGUGACGGACUUAAGAGUUUUGGCCCGUUCAUGUAACUUUGGUGCCAUUCAGGAUUCACCAAUAAGGGAUCGCAUUGUUUGUGGAACAAGUAGCCCUUCCUUGAGGGAGAGACUUUUGAGGGAGGAGGACUUAACACUAGAUAGGUGCAUACAAGUAUGCAGAGCCUCAGAACUGUUGAAAGAAAACAGUAAAACACUCCAGGGCAGAUUGACAGAGGAACUGCAUGCAAUGAAAAUGAGUCCAGGAAGAAAAACAGAGGAGAUUAUUUGCAACUUUUGUGGCAACAGGCAUGUAAAAAAUAAACGAAAGUGCCCAGCAUACGGAAAGAAGAGUAAAAAAUGCGGGAAAGAGAACCACUUUGCAGUGAAAUGUAAAUCGAGACCCGCGAAAGACAAGAAAAGCAGGCCAGUGCUAACAGUUGAGGAUACAAGUGAAUCGGGUGAGGACAUCAUGACAAUAACACACGUCAGUGAACACCAGGAGAUGAUAAAUCAAAUGAAUGAGGCACACAGGAAAAGUCAACACCUCUUUGCAGGGAUGUUGCUGGACAAAAAGCUUGUCAACUUUCAGAUUGACUGUGGUGCUACGUGUAACGUUAUCCCCAUACAAAGGUUGAGCUCAAACACACAACUGGAUAACACGGAGAAGAUACUUGUCAUGUAUAAUAAAAGCAAAAUACGCCCGCUUGGGAAAUGCAAAACCAAACUGCGGAACUCGAGAACUAAUAAACUGUACAAGCUUGAGUUUCAGGUGGUGGAUCAGGAAGACGGAGUCCCCAUAUUGGGCAGGAGGGCAAGCGAAGCCAUGAAACUGAUCAGGGUGCAGUAUGAAAAUAUACUGGCAAUGGACAGUAUAGUGACUACGCAUAACACAAAGUCCCAGAAAGAGAGCAACUAA
rnacentral:lncRNA from 1 species